AUUGAACGCUGGCGGCAGGCCUAACACAUGCAAGUCGAGCGGAUGAAGGGAGCUUGCUCCUGGAUUCAGCGGCGGACGGGUGAGUAAUGCCUAGGAAUCUGCCUGGUAGUGGGGGAUAACGUCCGGAAACGGGCGCUAAUACCGCAUACGUCCUGAGGGAGAAAGUGGGGGAUCUUCGGACCUCACGCUAUCAGAUGAGCCUAGGUCGGAUUAGCUAGUUGGUGGGGUAAAGGCCUACCAAGGCGACGAUCCGUAACUGGUCUGAGAGGAUGAUCAGUCACACUGGAACUGAGACACGGUCCAGACUCCUACGGGAGGCAGCAGUGGGGAAUAUUGGACAAUGGGCGAAAGCCUGAUCCAGCCAUGCCGCGUGUGUGAAGAGGGUCUUCGGAUUGUAAAGCACUUUAAGUUGGGAGGAAGGGCAGUAAGUUAAUAACUUGCUGUUUUGACGUUACCAACAGAAUAAGCACCGGCUAACUUCGUG
rnacentral:rRNA from 1 species